rnacentral:rRNA from 1 species
UACGUAGGGGGGCUAGCGUUGUCCGGAAUCAUUGGGCGUAAAGCGCGCGUAGGCGGCCUACUAAGUCAGACGUGAAAUCCCCAGGCUUAACUUGGGAACUGCGUCUGAUACUGGAAGGCUUGAGUGCGGGAGAGGGAUGUGGAAUUCCAGGUGUAGCGGUGAAAUGCGUAGAUAUCUGGAGGAACACCGGUGGCGAAGGCGGCAUCCUGGACCGACACUGACGCGUGAGGCGCGAAAGCUAGGGGAGCAAACGGGG